rnacentral:rRNA from 1 species
UACGGAGGGUGCAAGCGUUAUCCGGAUUCACUGGGUUUAAAGGGUGCGUAGGUGGGCAAGUAAGUCAGUGGUGAAAUCUCCGGGCUUAACCCGGAAACUGCCAUUGAUACUAUUUGUCUUGAAUACUGUGGAGGUCAGCGGAAUAUGUCAUGUAGCGGUGAAAUGCUUAGAUAUGACAUAGAACACCCAUUGCGAAGGCAGCUUGCUACACAAUGAUUGACGCUGAGGCACGAAAGCGUGGGGAUCAAACAGG